UGGGGAAUUUUGGACAAUGGACGCAAGUCUGAUCCAGCCAUGCCGCGUGCGGGUAGAAGGCCUUCGGGUUGUAAACCGCUUUUGUCAGGGAAGAAACGAGUUUCUCUAAUACAGAGACUUAAUGACGGUACCUGAAGAAUAAGCACCGGCUAACUACGUGCCAGCAGCCGCGGUAAUACGUAGGGUGCAAGCGUUAAUCGGAAUUACUGGGCGUAAAGCGUGCGCAGGCGGUUAUGCAAGACAGAUGUGAAAUCCCCGGGCUCAACCUGGGAACUGCAUUUGGGACUGUAUAGCUAGAGUACGGCAGAGGGGGAUGGAAUUCCGCGUGUAGCAGUGAAAUGCGUAGAUAUGCGGAGGAACACCGAUGGCGAAGGCAAUCCCCUGGGCCUGUACUGACGCUCAUGCACGAAAGCGUGGGGAGCAAACA
rnacentral:rRNA from 1 species